rnacentral:ncRNA from 10 species
AACGUUCAUCUCACUUGUUAGUGAGACGGAAGUAGGAAGAUAGGAGCUUGAAAGCUCCGCUGCGAGUAAAUUGCUAAAUCUGCCGAAGGAACGCGUU